ensembl:lncRNA
CGAAGUCCAGUCAAGCUCGAUGUCAGUGGAAAUAGGAUUAAUUACUGUUUCUGAGUGCUAUUUCCAGACUAAUGACAAGCUAAAAGUGCAUAUCAAACAAUUGAGAAGGCCCCAUACAGAAAAGUGCAUACUAAAUCAUUUGUUCACAAAAACGGCACAAAAACAAUCCGUGCCAUCAAUACACAUAGACACGGUUAAAUACGACAGGCUAUAUUCAGUGGCAUCGUGCUGCACAACAAUAAGAGAUCCAGUAGAAAUUUGGCAAGAACCAACUGAAGGCUCGUCACGGUUUAAAAGGCACAAAUCUACAGAAAAUAAGCACGAUUAAAAUCUAACAUUCAUCCAGACUGUGCAACGCCUAGUAUACAUUUACACUCAGUAUAUAUGUUAUUGCCUGAAUACGAUCAUUUGCCGUGUAACAUUUAGGAGCUGACAACAGUUGUACAGAUGUGCCAACAGUUAUUACGGUGGUUCUACAUUACUCCCACUCGCUGCAUCCACUUUGAAUGGACUGUGGUUUUGAUAAUGGCCACAGUGAGCUGGUGAAUAUGGAGACUAAAGUGCAAAACAACUCCACCCUGUCCACGUGUUUAUUUAUUUUUUCUUCCACCACCUGUUUCCUGUAUUCUCUUUUUUUACAUGCUGCUUAUCUACAGUGGGAAUAUCUGUGCCUCAGUGCUGGGUGUGAAGAGCUAUCAGCAGUAAAAAUUGAUAUAAACUAUAGUGCAAAAGUCCCUCAUUUCUUUAUAUUUUGCUAAAAUUGGUGCAAUGUAGUAUGCAAUGCAAAAACAGUGUCUGUACGAUUGUAACAAGCUUCAAAGCAUUUUUGUGAUUUUGUUCAGUAGCCCUCACGAUUAGUUCUCCAGGCUUUUUGAAGGACACUCAAAGCUCUUCUCUGGAUCUUUCUACCUUUUGUUCAGUUCUCUGCCGAGAUCACUGCUUCAGUAAUGUUGAGGUCCGAGCUCUGGGGAGGCCGAUCCAUGACUCAGUGCUGCACCGUGUUUUGGGGAUCAUUGCCAUGCAGACAAAUGAAGUUGCUGCCAAUUAAAUGCUUUCCGUGUGGUAUUGCAUAGUGGAUCAUGAUCUCCAACACCAGUUUCCUCACAUUUUUUAACAACACACUGCACACCAUGGCAAGAGAUGCCAGGUUUUCAGAUAAUACCUGUUCAUAAGUCGGUGUUAAUUGGCUUAACAAAGUAUUCCUCUGAAAAUGGUCCGGUACAAGCACUGGACUGAAAAUGGGUGAAAACUCAGCCAAUGUCCAAAGAAAAACUUUGAAAGACCUUCUGAAAACCCGGAGAACUGUUGUUCAAGACCUUCUCUUGAAUGGGGGAGGGGAAGCAACAUAUAAUGAAAGGAUGGGGAGACUCGAGAUUAUUGCACAGUAGUGUAUGUUGUGAAUAAAUUAUAACCACACAAUGAAUGAUUUACUUUUCACAAAAUAAAAU